rnacentral:rRNA from 1 species
GAGUGAAGCGGCAAAAGCUCAAAUUUGAAACCCUCGGGAUUGUAAUUUGAAGAUCUGUUAUUGGAGAAAGCUAACCCAAGUUGCUUGGAAUAGUACGUCAUAGAGGGUGACAACCCCGUCUGGCUAACCGUUCUCCAUGUAUUGCCUUAUCAAAGAGUCGAGUUGUUUGGGAAUGCAGCUCAAAGUGGGUGGUAAACUCCAUCUAAAGCUAAAUACUGGUGAGAGACCGAUAGCGAACAAGUACUGUGAAGGAAAGGUGAAAAGAACUUUGAAAAGAGAGUGAAAUAGUAUGUGAAAUUGUUGAUAGGGAAGGAAAUGAGUGGAGAGUGGCCGAGGUUUCAGCCGCCCCUCGUGGGCGGUGUACUGCCGACGCCGAGUCAUCGAUAGCGAGACGAGGGUUACAAAUGGGAGCGCCUUUCGGGCGUUCUCCCCUAACCCUCCACACUGCCACCGACGACAUAAUCCACCCAUUUCACCCGUCU